rnacentral:rRNA from 1 species
UACACAUGCAAGUCGAACGGCAGCACGGGAGCAAUCCUGGUGGCGAGUGGCGAACGGGUGAGUAAUAUAUCGGAACGUGCCCAGUCGUGGGGGAUAACGCAGCGAAAGCUGUGCUAAUACCGCAUACGAUCUAUGGAUGAAAGCGGGGGAUCGCAAGACCUCGCGCGAUUGGAGCGGCCGAUAUCAGAUUAGCUAGUUGGUGGGGUAAAAGCCCACCAAGGCGACGAUCUGUAGCUGGUCUGAGAGGACGACCAGCCACACUGGAACUGAGACACGGUCCAGACUCCUACGGGAGGCAGCAGUGGGGAAUUUUGGACAAUGGGCGAAAGCCUGAUCCAGCAAUGCCGCGUGCAGGACGAAGGCCUUCGGGUUGUAAACUGCUUUUGUACGGAACGAAACGGUCUCUUUUAAUAAAGGGGGCUAAUGACGGUACCGUAAGAAUAAGCACCGGCUAACUACGUGCCAGCAGCCGCGGUAAUACGUAGGGUGCGAGCGUUAAUCGGAAUUACUGGGCGUAAAGCGUGCGCAGGCGGUUAUAUAAGACAGAUGUGAAAUCCCCGGGCUCAACCUGGGACCUGCAUUUGUGACUGUAUAGCUAGAGUACGGUAGAGGGGGAUGGAAUUCCGCGUGUAGCAAUGAAAUGCGUAGAUAUGCCGGAGGAACACCGAUGGCGAAGGCAAUCCCCUGGACCUGUCUGACCUUAUGCACNAAAGCCGUGGGGAGCAAACAGGAUUANAUACCCUGGUANUCCACNCCCUUAAACNAUGUCAACUGGGUUGUUGGGUCUU